CAGCCGCCGCGGGAAUACGAAGGGUGCAAGCGUUAAUCGGAAUUACUGGGUGUAAAGCGUGCGUAGGCGGUGAGUUAAGUCUGCUGUGAAAUCCCCGGGCUCAACCUGGGAAUGGCAGUGGAUACUGGCUCGCUAGAGUGUGUCAGAGGAUGGUGGAAUUCCCGGUGUAGCGGUGAAAUGCGUAGAGAUCGGGAGGAACAUCAGUGGCGAAGGCGGCCAUCUGGGACAACACUGACGCUGAGGCACGAAAGCGUGGGGAGCAAACAGGAUUAGAUACCCCUGUAGUCCCUGUCUCUUAUAA
rnacentral:rRNA from 1 species